GACGAACGCUGGCGGCGUGCUUAACACAUGCAAGUCGAACGGAAAGGCCCUGCUUUUGUGGGGUGCUCGAGUGGCGAACGGGUGAGUAACACGUGAGUAACCUGCCCUUGACUUUGGGAUAACUUCAGGAAACUGGGGCUAAUACCGGAUCGGAGCUCCUGCUGCAUGGUGGGGGUUGGAAAGUUUCGGCGGUUGGGGAUGGACUCGCGGCUUAUCAGCUUGUUGGUGGGGUAGUGGCUUACCAAGGCUGUGACGGGUAGCCGGCCUGAGAGGGUGACCGGCCACAUGGGGACUGAGAUACGGCCCAGACUCCAACGGGAGGCAGCAGUGGGGAAUAUUGCACAAUGGGCGGAAGCCUGAUGCAGCAACGCCGCGUGCGGAAUGACGGCCUUCGGGUUGUAAACCGCUUUCGCCUGUGACGAAGCGGGAGUGACGGUAAUGGGUAAAGAAGCACCGGCUAACUACGUG
rnacentral:rRNA from 1 species